UAAUGAUUUAAUAGAAUUAAUGUUUUAAUUCGUUACGGCGCUGGCUCGCCUUAUAAAAUUAUGCACAAUUACCGUUAAUUCAGUCUGAAAUGUAAGUUUUGAUUGAAACCAUGGCUAUCUAUCGCUGCUUUUGCAGCAUGGUUGCUCUUAUGAUGAUUACCAGUUCGAACGCUGGUCUUGACGAUCAUGAUAGAACCAUUGUCGGUGAGGACAUUAACAAUUACGAUGACAUCCUUGACGCCAUUUAUAAAGGGAAAUAUUACAAAAACAUUAUCGAUAUUUACAAUGACGAGUAUGGCAUUUUCAGAGCCAGAGAUGACAGUUACGAUGGUGAUGGCAUUAACAUAAAUUACGUAGGCC